rnacentral:rRNA from 1 species
GAUGAACGCUGGCGGCGUGCCUAAUACAUGCAAGUCGAGCGAACGGACGAGAAGCUUGCUUUUCUGAUGUUAGCGGCGGACGGGUGAGUAACACGUGGAUAACCUACCUAUAAGACUGGGAUAACUUCGGGAAACCGGAGCUAAUACCGGAUAAUAUUUUGAACCGCAUGGUUCAAAAGUGAAAGACGGUCUUGCUGUCACUUAUAGAUGGAUCCGCGCUGCAUUAGCUAGUUGGUAAGGUAACGGCUUACCAAGGCAACGAUGCAUAGCCGACCUGAGAGGGUGAUCGGCCACACUGGAACUGAGACACGGUCCAGACUCCUACGGGAGGCAGCAGUAGGGAAUCUUCCGCAAUGGGCGAAAGCCUGACGGAGCAACGCCGCGUGAGUGAUGAAGGUCUUCGGAUCGUAAAACUCUGUUAUUAGGGAAGAACAAAUGUGUAAGUAACUAUGCACAUCUUGACGGUACCUAAUCAGAAAGCCACGGCUAACUACGUG